UACAGAGGGGGCAAGCGUUAAUCGGAAUUACUGGGCGUAAAGCGUGCGUAGGCGGUUCGUUAAGUCUGUUGUGAAAGCCCCGGGCUCAACCUGGGAAUGGCAAUGGAUACUGGCGAGCUAGAGUGUGUCAGAGGAUGGUGGAAUUCCCGGUGUAGCGGUGAAAUGCGUAGAGAUCGGGAGGAACAUCAGUGGCGAAGGCGGCCAUCUGGGACAACACUGACGCUCAUGCACGAAAGCGUGGGGAGCAAACAGG
rnacentral:rRNA from 1 species